AAACCAACAGGGAUUGCCUCAGUAACGGCGAGUGAAGCGGCAAAAGCUCAAAUUUGAAAUCCCCUUGGGGAAUUGUAAUUUGAAGAUUGUAAUUUGGUUGUAACCACACCUAUGUUCCUUGGAACAGGACGUCACAGAGGGUGAGAAUCCCGUGCGGUGUGGCCCCUACAUCCUUAUAAAUUACUCUCGACGAGUCGAGUUGUUUGGGAAUGCAGCUCAAAGUGGGUGGUAAAUUCCAUCUAAAGCUAAAUAUUGGCGAGAGACCGAUAGCGAACAAGUACAGUGAUGGAAAGAUGAAAAGCACUUUGAAAAGAGAGUGAAACAGUACGUGAAAUUGUUGAAAGGGAAGGGCAUGCCGUCAGAUUGCCAGUAUCGAUUGGAAGAGAGGGACAAAACAAGGAGAACGUGGCCCUCGGGUGUUAUAGCUCUUUGGCAAUACCUCUUUUUCCGAUCGAGGACUGCUUUUAGGAUACUGGCGUAAUGACGGUACGCCGC
rnacentral:rRNA from 1 species